rnacentral:rRNA from 1 species
AUUGAACGCUGGCGGCACGCUUAACACAUGCAAGUCGGACGGCAGCACAAGAGGGAAACCUCUGGGUGGCGAGUGGCGAACGGGUGAGUAACGCGUAGGGAUCUGCCUAAUAGAGAGGGAUAAGCCGUGGAAACGCGGUCUAAUACCUUAUACGCUCUAAGGAGGAAAGGCUGGGCCAGUAAAUUGCCAGUCGCUAUUAGAUGAACCUGCGUUAGAUUAGCUAGUUGGUAGGGUAAAGGCCUACCAAGGCGAAGAUCUAUAGCUGGUCUGAGAGGAUGACCAGCCACACUGGAACUGAGAGACGGACCAGACUCCUACGGGAGGCAGCAGUGGGGAAUAUUGGACAAUGGGGGCAACCCUGAUCCAGCGAUGCCGCGUGUGUGAAGAAGGCCUGAGGGUUGUAAAGCACUUUAGUUGGUGAGGAAAGGUUUCUGUUCGAAUAGGGCAGGAAGAAGACGUUAGCCAAAGAAUAAGCACCGGCAAACUCUGUGCCAGCAGCCGCCGCAG